rnacentral:sRNA from 1 species
AGCAAACAAAAUAGGCAUAAAAUAUUUUCGUCAUUAUUCACAGGCAUCUGCCUCAACACCAUCACGUGAAUUUGGUUUCAUAAUUCGCACACACAACUGCCAAACUAAAUAGAACUAAGAACAUUUAUCGUAUAAGUGUGUUACAAAUUUUUCAUUAUCAAAUAUUUUUUCUUACAUUAUUUCUUUCCAGAUGUUACCAAUCAAAUCUUAAAGCCAGCACACAUGCCCUCCAUUCAAUAGUGACGGGUGAAAGAAAAAAAUGGACGAACGGCGUCAAUGGAAUCAACGUAAACAUACUAUAUGUGGUGUUGGUGGGUGAUCGUGAUCAACAAAUCGUCUUAUCUAUUAUACAGAAAAUAAUAAUUAUAUCAGUAGCUAUAGAAAAAUAUUUUGAAAAUGAUGAAAUUAGCAUCUAUGGCAUGUGACACAGUAUUUUUUGUUGUUUUUUUCUUUUUCAUUUUCUUUGUUGGUGUUGGCAUUGAUCUUUGCCCAAAACGAAGCCAAAAAUUUGCCGUUCUGACGUAGAUGGCAAAAAGAGGCACGUCUUCGACAAAAACAACGACUACAAGAACAAUAACGCAAGAGAGUGUGAUGUUCCUUCCACCAACAUAACAAAAAUUCCAUGGCAACAGAUGUUGUCUUGUCUGGCUCGGCUGGGGGGGGAGUGGAUGGUGGGACACUAAAACACACCAGCAGAGGCAGACAAUCUUACUUCUUCGUAGCAACAGACCAGAGCAAUGUAAAAAAGAGCAACAGAUAUCUCCGGAGAACAUGCAUGCUGCUGAGAAAGUUACAGAGUGUGUGACCAGCCCCAACAGCACCAAACAGUUUAGCCAGAGCCGAACGAAAUGACGCGUUCGCCAAUUGUUUGUGUGGGAAAAUAUAAGCAUGGGUAUGGAUGGUGAACGCUUCACUAUUACUUAUCAACUCAAAGUGUGAAAGUCGUUGGCAGUUCUCUGUGGAUACCCAGCCGUACAGAGACUUUUUCGGUUUAAGGCCAACUGAUCAUAAGAAAAACCAUACAAAAAAACAAAUACAACAAAAAGGAAAACAAUGCAACAAACUUAAAUAAAAAAACAGAAACACAAGCGAAAAUUGAAUUGGAACCCGCUUCAAAUUUAAAAUAAAAUCUGGUUUUAUAUUGGAUUGAGUGUCAAAUAAAUAAAAUAAA